GAGGGUGUGGCUCAGUGGUAGAGUGCUUACCUAGCAUGCACAAGGCCCUGGAUUUAAUCCCCAGCACCCCCC
rnacentral:tRNA from 1 species